GACAUUGUGUGUGUUUGUCACAUCAUGUGGCAACGCUAAGUGGUAGGCAAUAGCUCCCACUCUAUCCAAUAUUGUAAAAGAUUUAAUAAAUCUAUGACUGAGUUUUCAUUUCUUCCCAAAUCUCAUGAUCCCUUUAAUUGGUGAGAUUUUAAAAAAUACAUGGUCGCUUACUUUGAAUUCUAAAUCUGUUUUUCGAUUGCCAGCAUAAAUUUUCUGCGUACUUUGAGCUGUCAAAAGAU
rnacentral:lncRNA from 1 species